rnacentral:rRNA from 1 species
AAUUUUCGGCAAUGGGGGCAACCCUGACCGAGCGACGCCGCGUGAGUGAAGAAGGCCUUCGGGUUGUAAAGCUCUGUUGUAAGGGAAGAACCGUAGUAAGAGGGAAUGCUUACUACCUGACGGUACCUUGCCAGAAAGCCACGGCUAACUACGUGCCAGCAGCCGCGGUAAUACGUAGGUGGCGAGCGUUAUCCGGAAUUAUUGGGCGUAAAGGGAGCGCAGGCGGCUUAUUAAGUCUGAGGUUAAAUCUUGGGGCUCAACCCCAUGAUGCCUUAGAAACUGGUGAGCUAGAGUGCAGGAGAGGUGAGUGGAAUUCCAUGUGUAGCGGUAAAAUGCGUAGAUAUAUGGAGGAACACCGGUGGCGAAGGCGGCUCACUGGCCUGUAACUGACGCUGAGGCUCGAAAGCGUGGGGAGCAUAUAG